rnacentral:misc_RNA from 1 species
GGGUGAUUGAACUGCUGAGCGUUAGCGUUGGACAUCACUAUCUUGAAUCCUGAUUCAUGAAUUCUGGCUACUGAAUCUUCCUGAAUCUACACUGCAAUGUCAAUAACUGACAUCAGAUCCUAGCGGUUCUGCCGGUGUCCGCUGCGGAGGCCGAGCGGCCCUUCAGUGAGGUCGCCUGGACGCUGACCGAGGUCCGCGCGACGAUGGGUGAGGAGCGCCUGGAGGCGUUGGUGAUGUGCCAGACGCACCGUGACCUUCUCCCAGCCUCGAAGGAAGUUGCGGACUUCUUCGCCAAGUCUGGCGCUCGUUGAGCGAAGCUUUCGCAUCUGCUGUAGGCCCCGGCCGCGGCUCACCGGUAUGCUCGCCCGCCACAGCCGCUCCACAGCUGCCGCUACGCUACAUAGCCACUAGAAUCAUCCUUUGUCCGGCCUCAUCACCCUGUCUCACCGUUUGUCACCCUGAUCGCCAUUUGCAAUAAACCCCAUUUGCCCAGUU